GCGGAGAUGCCGGAGUGGUCAAACGGGAUGGACUCAAAAUCCAUUAGCUUAGUGCUUACGCGGGUUCGAAUCCCUCUCUCCGCA
rnacentral:tRNA from 1 species